UACGUAGGUGGCAAGCGUUGUUCGGAAUUAUUGGGCGUAAAGGGCGCGUAGGCGGUUUGUUAAGUCGGCUGUGAAAGCCCGGGGCUCAACCCCGGAGGGUCAGCCGAUACUGGCAGACUAGAGUACGGAAGAGGUAGCUGGAAUUCCCGGUGUAGCGGUGAAAUGCGUAGAUAUCUGGAGGAACACCGGUGGCGAAGGCGGCAUCCUGGACCAACACUGACGCUGAGUGAGCGAAAGCCAGGGGAGCAAACGGG
rnacentral:rRNA from 1 species